UACGUAGGGGGCAAGCGUUAUCCGGAUUUACUGGGUGUAAAGGGCGUGUAGGCGGGAUGGUAAGUCAGAUGUGAAAACUAUGGGCUCAACCCAUAGCCUGCAUUUGAAACUAUCGUUCUUGAGUGUUGGAGAGGCAGGCGGAAUUCCGUGUGUAGCGGUGAAAUGCAUAGAUAUCACGCAGAACCCCGAUUGCGAAGGCAGCAUGCCGGCUUCCUACUGACGCUGAAGCACGAAAGCGUGGGGAUCGAACAGG
rnacentral:rRNA from 1 species